rnacentral:rRNA from 1 species
GGCGGCGUGCUUAACACAUGCAAGUCGAACGAUGAACCACUUCGGUGGGGAUUAGUGGCGAACGGGUGAGUAACACGUGGGCAAUCUGCCCUUCACUCUGGGACAAGCCCUGGAAACGGGGUCUAAUACCGGAUAACACUUCCACUCUCCUGGGUGGAGGUUAAAAGCUCCGGCGGUGAAGGAUGAGCCCGCGGCCUAUCAGCUUGUUGGUGAGGUAAUGGCUCACCAAGGCGACGACGGGUAGCCGGCCUGAGAGGGCGACCGGCCACACUGGGACUGAGACACGGCCCAGACUCCUACGGGAGGCAGCAGUGGGGAAUAUUGCACAAUGGGCGAAAGCCUGAUGCAGCGACGCCGCGUGAGGGAUGACGGCCUUCGGGUUGUAAACCUCUUUCAGCAGGGAAGAAGCGAAAGUGACGGUACCUGCAGAAGAAGCGCCGGCUAACUACGUGCCAGCAGCCGCGGUAAUACGUAGGGCGCAAGCGUUGUCCGGAAUUAUUGGGCGUAAAGAGCUCGUAGGCGGCUUGUCACGUCGGGUGUGAAAGCCCGGGGCUUAACCCCGGGUCUGCAUUCGAUACGGGCUAGCUAGAGUGUGGUAGGGGAGAUCGGAAUUCCUGGUGUAGCGGUGAAAUGCGCAGAUAUCAGGAGGAACACCGGUGGCGAAGGCGGAUCUCUGGGCCAUUACUGACGCUGAGGAGCGAAAGCGUGGGGAGCGAACAGGAUUAGAUACCCUGGUAGUCCACGCCGUAAACGGUGGGAACUAGGUGUUGGCGACAUUCCACGUCGUCGGUGCCGCAGCUAACGCAUUAAGUUCCCCGCCUGGGGAGUACGGCCGC